rnacentral:rRNA from 1 species
UACGUAGGGCGCAAGCGUUAUCCGGAAUUAUUGGGCGUAAAGAGCUCGUAGGCGGUCUGUCGCGUCGAAUGUGAAAACCCGGGGCUCAACUCCGGGCUUGCAUUCGAUACGGGCAGGCUAGAGUUCGGUAGGGGAGUCUGGAAUUCCUGGUGUAGCGGUGAAAUGCGCAGAUAUCAGGAGGAACACCGGUGGCGAAGGCGGGUCUCUGGGCCGUAACUGACGCUGAGGAGCGAAAGCGUGGGGAGCGAACAGG